AACUGAUGUUGAGGGCAUUGGCGGAUGAGUUCUUCGUAUCUUUCCCAAGCUUCAUGCAAAGGUUCGUCCGCUCCUUGGGUGAACUCCAUUAUUUUCGUUCUCAGCUU